rnacentral:lncRNA from 1 species
CAUCUGAGGGUUCAUCUCGGGCCACCCCCGCUCCAGUGAGGAACCUGCAGGUCAAGGAGGGGACGUGACUGGCCACUGAGGGCAUUGCAGGCAGAGCCAGCCAGGACCGGCUUUCUCCCAGGCUAGGGAGCUUUCCUGAUGGAAGUUUCUGGAAGCCUUCGUCCAAUUCCAUUCUCUCACUCUUCUUGCAAGUCAGCAGGGCAGAGGCAGGGGCAGCAGAGCCCCACUUGGCAAAUGAAGAAACUGAGGCACAGCCAAGGUCAGAGACUCGCCUUUCUUCAAAUAGCUCAUUACUGUGGGGCCCCCAGUUAGUGGUUACAGAGUGGGUCCCGAGCCAUGGCCUGGGCUGGGUCCUGGCUCUGCCACUUUCAAGCUGAGCAAAUUGCUCACCCCUGUGUGACUCCAUUUUCCCACCUGCAGAACAGUUAAUAAGCAUAAUUGACCCGUGGCUUUUACGAGCACAAUGAAACCCAGGCAUCACCAAUGGGAGGAGCCCAGCCCUGGAGGCAGAUGCCAGUUCCACCCCACCCAGCCCUCCACCCGCCAGCUCUCGGGCUCCCCUACCCCUCUGCAGAUGGAGGGAGUGGCAGUGCCUCCCACACAGGGCAGUUGUGAGAAUUCAUGAUGGUGUUUUGUUGAUUCAAUGUGUUUUCGAUGCUUCUUGUUUCGUUUUGUAAAUCAACUAGAGCAGUGCCUCCACACAGCAAGCGCAAUGCUUUUGUCCAUGACCUCAGCAGGCCACUCUACCCACACCUGCGGCAGGUGGGCGGUGCCAGGGGAUUAACACUCACCUCCAACAACCCCCAAAUAAUAACUCAUAGGAGUUGGUGUAUAAAUACCCACGCUCCCUUGCUCCUGGGAUUCCUCUGUUGUGUGUGAUUUCUCCAUGGGACUGAACUCCAGCUGUCCUCUGCACCACCUGGCUGAAUACUACGCCCUGAAUUGGCCUCCUUCCUUUCCUGUUGCACUUCCUAAAGCCCUGCCAGAGCUUCCUAAGGUCACCUCUCAAAUAAACUACUUGCUCUCAAAUUCUUGUCUCAGAGUCUGCACGUGGGACAACCCAAACUAAGGCAUCAACCAUCAGUGAUAUUUGUCCCACCCACCCUCAAGGUCAGACCCCAAACCUGAGAGACUCAGUCCAAAGAGACCCAGAAGACAGCUUGGCUCUUAUAACUAGAUAAGAAAUCAACCCAGGAGAAGCCUGUAUGGCAAUUUAUAAUGGGAGGGGCUGGAUUUUUCUGUGAAAUAUUUUCAUAUGGCAUUGAUUACUGAGAGUGAAACUAGAAUGAAAUCAAUCAGAUCUGCAGUUGGAAAAGCUCACUCUGGCUCCUGUCGUAAAAUGUGAAUGUGGGCGGUGCCCUGGUCUGCACAGGGAGCUGGGUCGGGUACCACUGCAGUUGUCAGAGGUGACACUGGAGGAGAUUGGCAGGGGUGGCCGCCCUUGGCAGGUAUUUAGGAAGGACAAUCACAAGGGAUUUGAAAUGGAUUAAGCCAGCGGAGGAGAUUGAGGAGGAGGUGAUUUCUGACUUAUAAUGGAUAGAAGUGGAAGUCACUCCAAAGACAAACACAGCAGGAGGAGCAGGUUUGGGAAGGAAGGUCAGGAGUUCAGACCCAGGCGCACUGGCUUAAGUUGCCUUCAAAACAUCCAGGUGGAGAUGUCAAGAUGUCUGUUGGAUAAAUGAGACCAGAACUCAGAGGAGCGGCAAGAACAACAGUGACCAUCG